rnacentral:rRNA from 1 species
AGAGUUUGAUCCUGGCUCAGAACGAACGCUAGCGGCAGGCCUAACACAUGCAAGUCGAACGGGUUGCCGAGUCGGUUCGCCGAUGAGGUGAUUAGUGGCAGACGGGUGCGUAAUGCGUGGGAAUCUACCCAGUAGUACGGAAUAGUCACUGGAAACGGUGAGUAAUACCGUAUGUUCCCUGAGGGGCAAAGAUUCAUCGC